ACGAUGAACCUCCUUCGGGAGGGGAUUAGUGGCGAACGGGUGAGUAACACGUGGGCAAUCUGCCCUGCACUCUGGGACAAGCCCUGGAAACGGGGUCUAAUACCGGAUACUGAUCAUCUUGGGCAUCCUUGGUGAUCGAAAGCUCCGGCGGUGCAGGAUGAGCCCGCGGCCUAUCAGCUUGUUGGUGAGGUAAUGGCUCACCAAGGCGACGACGGGUAGCCGGCCUGAGAGGGCGACCGGCCACACUGGGACUGAGACACGGCCCAGACUCCUACGGGAGGCAGCAGUGGGGAAUAUUGCACAAUGGGCGAAAGCCUGAUGCAGCGACGCCGCGUGAGGGAUGACGGCCUUCGGGUUGUAAACCUCUUUCAGCAGGGAAGAAGCGAAAGUGACGGUACCUGCAGAAGAAGCGCCGGCUAACUACGUGCCAGCAGCCGCGGUAAUACGUAGGGCGCGAGCGUUGUCCGGAAUUAUUGGGCGUAAAGAGCUCGUAGGCGGCUUGUCGCGUCGGUUGUGAAAGCCCGGGGCUUAACCCCGGGUCUGCAGUCGAUACGGGCAGGCUAGAGUUCGGUAGGGGAGAUCGGAAUUCCUGGUGUAGCGGUGAAAUGCGCAGAUAUCAGGAGGAACACCGGUGGCGAAGGCGGAUCUCUGGGCCGAUACUGACGCUGAGG
rnacentral:rRNA from 1 species